rnacentral:lncRNA from 1 species
GAGGGAUCAGUGAGACAGGGAGGGAGGGCUCAGUGGGAUGUGGAGGCUUAAGGAGGGAGGGAUCAGUGAGACAGGGAGUGUUAGAGAGGGAGGGAUCAGUGGGACAGGGAGGGUUAGGGAGGGAGGGAUCAGUGAGACAUGGAGUGUUAGAGAGGGAGGGAUCAGUGAGACAGUGAGGAGGCCUCAGUGGGAUGUGGAGGCUUAAGGAGGGAGGGAUCAGUGAGACAGAGAGUGUUAGGGGGGAGGGCUCUGUGAAAUAUGCAGAUUGCUGUUGAGUCUAUGGUUACAUUUACACCCUACUAGACACCAUAGUAAUGGAGGCCAUGUACAGCAUUGUCUCAGGGCAAUUCUACCACCCUGGAAAUUGCCUGGUUCAUUGUAAGUAUGAGGGAAUACCUCCUUGAGUCCUUUAGCACUGAACCACUUCUACUGUGAAGAGUGAAGUGUGUGUAGGCCAAUGUGGAUGGUGGGGGGUCUAGCCCUUGCGGCCUUUAAAAUGACUUUGAG